GACAAUAUUAUCUUCCGCAUCGGCUGGAUUUGCUAUGCUCAAUCGUAGAUACAAUAGCAAGCUCAUCAAUUGUUGUUGCUGAUAAUUAUUUGCGAGCGAAAAGUCAACAUUGUAAUUCAUAUGAUUAAACGAGAGCGCUGAAUCGGCAAGAACAACGCUUCAAUUGUAGCGCUAUAAAAGUGCCAUCGGUUGGGAACAGUAUCAUCAAAGUCUCACUUUUCGUGUUCACUGCAAGUACAACGCAACGAUUUAAGCGCAAACAUGUUCAACUUCUACAAAUUGUUUGUGGUAUUCGCUGCGCUGCUGAGCCUCACUGCCGCAAGGCCAAGCAUUUUGGGGCCCAUCCUGGUCUCGCCAUCCUCCAUCUCGCAUCAGAGUGUCACUCAGGUGCAUGCCACUCACCCGGUACUCGUCGCCACACCAAUCGUCACCGCGGUGCAUCCAAUUGUAACUCCCAUCCUCCAUCAUCCUGAGCAUAUUGUUAUUGGUUAAAAUGUUGUUGUAAUGACAAACAACAGUUAACGUUGACCGCCAUUUUGCGACUGCGUAUGGACUACUCUACAAAGUGAAUACUCAGCACCACAAUGCCACACGUGAUCAGCACCUAUUUUCACACACAGCCACAGUAGCACUUUCUUAGCCACACAUAAGUACAGUCAUAUUCAUAGAACUAAGUACACAUACAUAUUUAUGUGUGUUUGUUGUUUGAAACGCGCCGAUUUGCUUUCUUUCGAUCUUGCGCUCGUUGCGUUGCAGUGCAUUUCUUUGUGAACAUUUUUUAUUUUCUUAGUUUUUUUGAGUUCUAUUGCAAUCAACAGACACUUAGUUACAAUUUAGACCUAUAUACCUUUUCAAUAAAACCCAAAGCAAUUAAAAAUAUUAAGAA